CAGUCUGGUGAUGUGGGCGUGGUCAGUGUGUGUGUGUGUGUGUGUGUGUGUGUAAGAGUAUAAAUAGAGAGCAGGAGAGACAGUCUGUCCUUUCUUUUCUCCGGACUCCUUCAGUCUGCAGGAGCAGAAACUCAGAGCGUUCAGGCUCUGCUGCUCCGAGAGGAUUUCUUCAGUCAUGUAGACUGCGCUUGCAUCUUAUCUAUCAUUGGAGGAGGAAGAGGAGUAAAUUCACAUCUGCCAAGGGAUGUGUCACUCAGUCCUUCUGUUCCCUGCGUCAGACUUCGUCUGCGCUCAGGGUCCAGCGGGUCUGGAGUGAACAGGACCGGGCCAACUCUGACCUGCCAUUCGAGAAGAAGACACCAGAACCAACCACAAAAACCACAAAGACAUGAACGCGCUAAUGCACUAAACAAUGAAAGCACUAAAACCCUUUAUGGGUUCUGGUGCCUGUUUCUUGGUUGGCAGGGUUAGUGGUUGCCCUGUCGUUGAACAGAAACCUAAUAUUCUUAACUCUUCAAAGCUGUACGGCAUUUUUCAACUUAAAACUAAAAAUACAUAAAAAUAGUAAAACCAUGAAACGGAA